UUGCUUUCUGAGAUCGAGGGUAUGCCUGAACCAAGAAGCUUCAUUCGAUUCCUCAAAACUUCUCCUGUGCUCACUGCUUAACAUCGCGAGCAGAACUUCUUCGUCUUCUAGCGGCGUCCUUCAUCCCCGUUAAAUGUGAAGCUCGGCUUGAAGAUGGAGCACUUGUAUCAAAAUCUGAUGGAGUGGAGUUUAGGGUGAAAGAGGGCUAUGAAAACCAUGAAGAAGGGAGAGAAACAACACUCGUCGUCUUCGGGUGCUUCUCUAGCCCACAGGUUUUACGUUGUUCUGUCCUCCCCCCCCC